AACAAGAAUUGCUUAAUAAUUAAGUGAUUAGUUUAAACCAAGGAUACCGAAAUGUCAGGGGUUCGACCCCCCUAUGAGGAGUACCGAAAUGUCAGGGGUUCGACCCCCCUAUGAGGAG
rnacentral:tRNA from 1 species